UAAAAUAAUUAAGGGCACACAAAGGAUGCCUAGGUAGUAAGAGCCGAUGAAGGACGUGGUAAGCUGCGAUAAGCCUAGAUAAGUUGCAAUCGAACGUAAGAGUCUAGGAUUUCCGAAUGGAGCAAUCUAUUAAGAUGGAGUCUUAAUACGAAAGAGGGAACCGCGUGAACUGAAACAUCUAAGUAACGCGAGGAAAAGAAAGUAAAAACGAUACCCAAAGUAGCGGCGAGCGAAAUGGGUCAAGCCUAAACCUUAAAUAUGUCAAGGAUACAGCCGUUGUAUUUAAGGGGUUGAGGGACAGAGUAGUGAAGAACUGUAAGAUAUUCAAUAUAGUGUAUUGAUGAAUUGGAAUUGUCUGGAAAGGCGAACCGUAGAAGGUGAAAGUCCUGUACAAGUAAAUCCUUACACAUAUAACUCUGCUCCCAAGUAACAUGGAACACGAGGAAUUCUGUGUGAAUCUGUGAGGACCAUAUCUCAUAAGGCUAAAUACUCUUACUAACCGAUAGCGCAUAGUACCGUGAGGGAAAGGUGAAAAGAACCCCUGGAGGGGAGUGAAAUAGAACCUGAAAUUGUGUGCUUACAAGCGGUCAGAGCCAGUAAUGGUGAUGGCGUGCCUUUUGGAGAAUGAUCCUGCGAGUUACGUUAAACGGCGAGGUUAAGUAUAACGGAGCCGAAGGGAAACCAAGUCUUAAUAGGGCGAUUUAGUCGUUUGGCGUAGACGCGAAACCUGGUGAUCUAAACCUGUCCAGGAUGAAGCUGUGGUAAGACACAGUGGAGGUCCUAACCCACCGCCGUUGAAAAGUUGGGGGAUGAGGUAGGUUUAGGGGUGAAAAGCCAAUCGAACCAGGAGAUAGCUCGUUCUCUCCGAAAUGCAUCUAGGUGCAGCCUUGAGUGUUCAAUUAUGGGGGUAGAGCACUGAAUGAUCUAGGGGGCGUAUUGCUUACUGAAAUCAAUCAAACUCCGAAUACCAUAAUUUAUAGCUCAGGAGUGAGACUAUGGGAGUUAACUUCCAUUGUCGAAAGGGAAACAACCCAGACCACCAGCUAAGGUCCCUAAUUAUAACUAAGUGGGAAAGGAGGUGGAGAUUCACAAACAACUAGGAGGUUGGCUUAGAAGCAGCCAUACCUUUAAAGAGUGCGUAAUAGCUCACUAGUCGAGAGUCUCUGCGCCGACAAUGUAACGGGGCUAAGUUAUAAACCGAAGCUGUGGAAUCCGUAAGGAUUGGUAGGAGAGCGUUCUGUAGGCCGUUGAAGGAGAAGGGUAACCGACUCUGGAGGUAUCAGAAGUGAGAAUGCAGGAAUAAGUAGCGAGAAAGGGGGCGAGAAUCCCCCUCGCCGGAAGACCAAGGUUUUCAGGGUAAAGCUUGUCUUCCCUGAGUAAGCCGGGACCUAAGCCCAGGCUAUAAUGCGUAGGCGAAUGGAAAACAGAUUAAUAUUUCUGUGCCAGUCAUAUAUUGUGAUGGAGGGACGCAGAAGGGUAUGCGCGCGGACGAACGGAAGUGUCCGUAGAAGUAUGUAGGAUGACUUGAUAGGAAAAUCCAUUGAGUUAUAUCUGAGGUAUGAUAUACAGUCGUAAGAUGAAUGCGCAAAUCCCACGCUGCCAAGAAAAGCUUCUAACGUUAAUAUUUGACUGCCCGUACUGCAAACCGACACAGGUGGUCAGGAUGAGAAAUCUAAGGCGGACAGGCUAACUCUCGUUAAGGAACUCUGCAAAAUAACCUCGUAACUUCGGGAGAAGAGGAGCCCUUGAGGGUCAGUAUCCACGCGAUACAAAGCGCUCGAGGGUCGCAGUGAAGAGGCUCAAGCAACUGUUUAACAAAAACACAGGUCUAUGCUAAGCUGGAAGGCGAUGUAUAUGGGCUGACACCUGCCCAGUGCUGGAAGGUUAAGAGGAGGAGUGAGAGCUCCGAAUUGAAGCCCCAGUGAACGGCGGCCGUAACUAUAACGGUCCUAAGGUAGCGAAAUUCCUUGUCGGGUAAG
rnacentral:rRNA from 1 species